AACGAACGCUGGCGGCAUGCCUAACACAUGCAAGUCGAACGAGACCUUCCCGCCUAGUGGCGCCCGGUUGCGUAAGGCGGAGUAAUCUGCCCUUAGGUUCGGAAUCACUCCCCGUAACUGGUCCUAAUACUGGCUAAUACCUUCGGCCCAAAAUUUUGUAGCCUUUGGAUGGGCCCGCCUUGGCUUAGCUAGUUGGUAGGGUAACAGCGUACCAAGGCGACGAUCCAUAGCUGGUCAGAGAGAAUGAUCAGCCACACUGGGACUGAGACACCGUCCGGAAUCCUACGGAAGGCAGCAGUGGGGGAUAUUGGACAGUGGGCGAAAGGCUGAUGCAGCAAUGCCGGGUGAGUGAUGAAGUCCGGAGGGAAGUAAAGCUCUUUUACACGGGAUGAUAAUGACAGUACCGGGAGAAUAAGCUCCGGCUAACUCCGUG
rnacentral:rRNA from 1 species